rnacentral:rRNA from 1 species
UACAGAGGUCCCAAGCGUUUGUUCGGAGUUACUGGGCGUAAAGGGUGUGUAGGCGGUUGCUUAAGUUUGGUGUGAAAUCUCCCCGGCUCAACCGGGAGGGUGCGCCGAAUACUGAGUGACUAGAGUGCGGGAGAGGAAAGUGGAAUUCCUGGUGUAGCGGUGAAAUGCGUAGAUAUCAGGAGGAACACCGGUGGUAGUAGACGGCUUUCUGGACCGUAACUGACGCUGAGACACGAAAGCGUGGGUAGCAAACAGG